rnacentral:rRNA from 1 species
GAUGAACGCUAGCUACAGGCUUAACACAUGCAAGUCGAGGGGCAGCAUAAACAUAGCUUGCUAUGUUUGAUGGCGACCGGCGCACGGGUGCGUAACACGUAUCCAAUCUACCCAUGGCUCGGGGAUAGCCUUUCGAAAGAAAGAUUAAUACCCGAUGGUCUCGGUUUAAGGCAUCUUAGACUGAGUAAAGAUUCAUCGGCGAUGGAUGAGGAUGCGUCUGAUUAGGUAGAUGGCGGGGUAACGGCCCACCAUGCCUACGAUCAGUAGGGGUUCUGAGAGAAAGGUCCCCCACAUAGGAACUCGGACAAGGGCCAAACUCAGACGGGGGACCGCAUUGAGUAAUAGUGGGCAAUGGACUAGAAUCUGAACCAGCCAAGUAGCGUGAAGGAUAACUGCCCUAUGGGUUAUAAACUUCUUUUGUUUGGGAAUAAAGUUCGGGACGUGUCCCGUUUUGUAUGUACCAUUCGAAUAAGCAUCGGCUAACUCCGUGCCAGCCGCCGCCGUAACAC